CCCUUAGAUGUUCUGGGCCGCAUGCGCGCUACACUGAAGCUAUCAACACGUUUUCCCUCCCUGAGAAGGGCGGGUAACCUUUUGAAUCAGCUUCGUGGUAGGGAUCGGGGCUUGCAAUUGUUCCCCGUGAACCAGGAAUUCCUAGUAGACGCGAGUCAUAAGCUCGCAUCGAUUAAGUCCCUGCCCUUUGUACACACCGCCCGUCGCUACUACCGAUUGAACGUUUUAGUGAGGCAUUUGGACCGACGCAUCUCAGUUUAACCGCUGGUUUGUGUUGGAAAGACUUCCAAACUUGAGCGUUUAGAGGAAGUAAAAGUCGUAACA
rnacentral:rRNA from 1 species